rnacentral:rRNA from 1 species
CCCUUAGAUGUUCUGGGCCGCACGCGUGCUACACUGAUAUUGCCAAUAUGUCGUUCUUAUCCGAAAUGGAUUGGGUAAUCAAGUAAUGAAAUUUCAUGCUUGGAAUCGGUAAUUGCAAUUUUAUCGUGAACGAGGAAUUCCUAGUAAGCACUAGUCAUCAGCUAAUGUUGAUUAUGUCCCUGCCCUUUGUACACACCGCCCGUCGCUACUACUGAUUGGGUGUUCAAGUGAGAUGCUUAGACCCUUGUUGCAUGGUUCAUUAUUGUGCUCCGAAAGGAAAAAGUUUCAAGCUUGAGUGUCUAGAGGAAGUAAAAGUCGUAACA